GGCGCCCUGUGCGCCUGAUGCUCCGCCGCGUGACUAUCCCGUUAUGCAUAUCCUGUGUGCGCUCUAGCUCCAUCGGGGCCCUGACGAGUCAGCAACAAACCAUGCAUUACACAUUUUGC
rfam:Trypanosoma cruzi strain CL Brener tcruzi_1047053415875, whole genome shotgun sequence.